rnacentral:tRNA from 1 species
UGGGACGUAGCCAAGCGGUAAGGCAGCGGGUUUUGAUCCCGUCAUCCGUAGGUUCGAAUCCUUCCGUCCCAG